rfam:Populus trichocarpa scaffold_12_contig_146, whole genome shotgun sequence.
UCUAGAACUUGAGAUAUGGGCUGGACACUGAACAAUGUCUGGGCUGCAGGACAAAUUCAGACGUCUCUCUUGUUGCUAAGAUUUGACCUUGAAAACAACAGAUUUGAAUCUUGGACUCCUCAUGAAUGUUUUAGGCCUAUGUCUUAGCUUUCCAUC